GUUCCUUCAGAUAGUAUUAAAACUCAUUGGCUAUGACUUGUAAAUGUAAACACUGAAUGGGACUCUACAGGCGUUCUCCAAGAUACAUUGAAUGAUUGUGUAUCCAUAAAGAUUAAAGCCUUAUCAGCCUACAAGGAAGAUGUUCCAGUUGUGCAGAUUCAGAAACAGCAUGUGGACAAAGUGUUCGAGAAAGAGUCAUGUUUCUUCGUUUUUGACAUAAUUUUCACAAAAUUGAUGGCACCAUGAAAAAAGAAGACUACAUCGAGAUUCUUGAAAUGCAUUUGCUUCAAUCAGCAAAGAUACUUAAGCUUUGAAGACAUUCAUUGUUCCAGCAAGACAAUGGCCGAACGCACACAUCUGAAAAAGUUCAAGUAUAGGGCAAUAGGCAUAAGUUUAGGGUCAUAUAUUGGCUAGCCCAAAAUCCUGACCUUAACCCUAUCGACCUCAGUGUUUCCCACAAUUCAGUAAGGACUUAUCUUAAGCAUAUUCAAUAUUUGAAGAAAGCCAGAGGCCAUGUCACUAAGUAUUACGUCAUUUUACUCUUUGGGUAUGAAACGCCAAAAAUGAUUUUUGUAAAUUUACACCAAAAAUGAAUAAACUAUUAUAUUUUU
rnacentral:lncRNA from 1 species